GAGAAAGAAGAAUAAAAGUAAUUGCAUAUCAGUGCAUACUGUAUCACAAUAUCGUGAAAGAGAGUUUACAAUAUAAAAGCUGAUAAAAGAAAAAAAAGGAAGGUACAAAAAUAAAUGAGCCUUAAACACUUACUCGUGUACAAAACAAGAACAGAGACAUUUAUUUGAAGAAAAGAUUAACCUGCAACCAAAAUUGGAAGAAAUUUUUUAAAUAGAAAUUAAAUUGAAAGAAAAUUGUGGGACAUGAAGAACUUUAAUGAAAUAGAAGUUAUAAUUCAAGACAACAGUUACGCAUUGCAAACACAUGAUGAUCAUUGGGAAGAUUUAUAAGUACAUGUUUAAUGCCUUUAUGAGAGACCAAAUUAGUUAAGAAAACACAAACAUGAUGGGUGGCUCUUGAAACUAAAACACAACAAUUUUUCAUGCAACCUAAAUCCAUCUAUAUAAUACUCUCCCUAUUGGAGACAAAGACAAAGUGUACAACCCAAGAUACAAUCAUGUUUUU
rnacentral:lncRNA from 1 species